GAGAAGAGAAGAGAAAGAAGAAAGAAGAAAGGGAAGAAAGAAGAAAGAGAAGAGGAAGAGGAGGAAGAGGAAGAGGAGGAAGAGGAAGAGGAAGGGGAAAAGGGGAAGAAGAAUCGCUAAGUAGCAGCUUUAUACUCAGGCUUCUUGUUUACAUAAUGGGGAGAGUCACGACUGGGUUCUUCUUGGAGCCACCUCCCAGGGCAGUUGUAAGGAGCCCUGAUAAAGAUUUAUGUGGUUUGUUUUCUUUCCCCAAACUUUUGAAGAUCAACAGAGUAGAAUUACUUGUCUGGGUGUCCUGAACUUCGUUUCUGAGACCCAGCUGAAAACCCUGGACAGCUGGAGGGAAGCAGACACCUUGGAGAACCGAAAUAUUUGGCUGCUUUUUCCCAGAACCUCUGGUGGAACAGUUCUAAACUUGGGAGCCAGAAAGACCUGAGCUCAAAUUCCGUGCCUUCUACUUACUUCAGACCAUAGUACAGUGGGGUCCAGAAAACGUGGAAGAGGUCCAAUGCAGAGGAGCUGGAGGAAAAGAGCAGAACUGCAGCCUGUGUCUACCUGUGGGCAUCCAUUCAAAACGUGCAUGGACAUGCAAAGUGGUGUUUAAGUAAAGGAAAAUUCACACACACACACACACACACACACACACCCCACUUAAUGUUACAAUGCAGUUUCCAUGAGCCAUAAAAAAAGAAGAUAAAAAUGGUAAAGUCUAGUACCUGGUGUAGAGGUAUAUUGAUCUGCUGAAGGAGAGCUUUCACUGCCAUCUGGAGCUCGUAGAAGAACAAUUGCAUGGGGCACUCAGAAGUAUGAUCCACACUUUCCAUAGAUUCAGAGCCAGAAAGUUUUUGGAUCCAUUCCCAUUCCUCUCUGUAUGUUGAGUCAAGUUAAAAUUAGAAAUACAACAAAAGUUCAGAACACGGCUCAGAACUUUCUUGGUGUAUGUGUCCAGAACCUGGAUAACCAAUACUCGGUGGUUAAAACUCAGUGUAAUUCAUGAAAUUUGAACAUUUUGCCACCCAAAUGGAGCUUAAAAUGAUCUCUUUCUAAUUUCAGCUUAGUUCACCUAUUAAACCACAUAUACCUCAGAACAGCAGGCCUAAUUUGUAUGAAUCAGUUUUCGAGAUUGGGGUUCUCAAAUAUUUUGUAAUAAUUUCCUGACUGUCCUCAUUUUUCUUUCUCUGCAGAUCCCCUGUAAAUUCUAAGAUCCUACAUUUUACCACAGGGGCAUCUGCUGGCUAAUUCUGCAGUUUAGUAACCACAGGACUCUGGUCCAACUCAGGCAACAAACCACUUGGCACAUUUCAACCCUGGCCUGUUGUAAUCAUGGAGGAUAUUUUGGUUUUUCUCCCCUUCCAAAAGUUUGAGGAGAAUCACAAACAGGAACACCAGACAAUUCCAAUAAAAGGAACCAAGGGACGCAUAUCACUGCUUCUAUCCUCCUUACAAACCAGUCAUCUGUGUCUUUAUUCUGCAUGCUCUAUAAUCCUUCCUAAUGAACUUUUCCAAAUGUCACACAGAAGGGAAGGGAAAAGAAUGGCAGUGGGAGGAAAGCACAUCUGGUUCGCCCCUAAAGACUUGCUCUUCAAAAGGAGCUUGAAAAGAUCAAGGUAAAUGCCUCUUGGGCAACAUUGUUUCCACAGGUCUUUUAGCACAAGUCUCUAAACACAUUCAGUUGGCCCAGUUUCUCAUUCGAACUCUGCAGGGAGCAGCAGUAGGCUCUCAGGAGCAGGCUAGAGAGGAAAGGAAAGCCCUCCUCUCAGGGGAUGGAAAGAGAGGAGGUGCUGACAUAUGUUCCCACCCUAGUGAAAACUCUCCGAGGCUUUCCCCAAAGGGCUCUACCAGCCUGGGCUCCAAUCUGUGGGUCAGAAAACCAAAUUGAUUGUGGCAUGAGCUUUUCAUCAAAAACCACUCUCUUUUAACUAACUACCCUCUUAGAAAAGUUUCUGUUUUCAAGAUAUCUGUUUCAUUUCAAGUCUCACACUGGACAAGACUAUGGAAAAUUUACCCUUUGUCCCAGUAAGAAAAAAAAAAAAAACCUCAAAAUUAAAUCCUACUUCAAUCUGGGCAUACUGUUGGCUUCACUCUUUGAGAACCUGCUUGGGAACUAUUUUUUUUUCUCCCAUCACUGAUACGGAACAAAAUGAGAGUUUUGUGACUAGCACAUGCACUCAUAAAACCUAAAGGACAACAAGGCUAAAAUAAGGUUUGUAAUCAAGUUAGAAAAUAAAUUACUGGUAGGACUAUCGUGAAACACCUACCACUAAUCAGUUUCUGCUAGAAGGAUGAAGGAGAUGGAACUGACAGAGAAAAGGCUACUGGAAUCUUUUGUACAAACAAAAUCUGGAUCCUUGGCAAAGGAAAAUUCAUUGGUAUAACCACUAGGAGAUGGAGUCCAAGCCUUUAAGACACAAAUCUAGAAAAUGGAUGAGUGUAAUUAUUACUAAGUCAACCCACAAAUGAACCAUGUAACCUUUUGGGAAGGACUGAGGCGAUAAUGAAUGUUGAUUGUGGCAGUGACCACCAGAUGGCAGACUUAAA